GAUCCUGGCUCAGAGUGAACGCUGGCGGUAGGCCUAACACAUGCAAGUCGAACGGCAGCACAGUAAGAGCUUGCUCUUAUGGGUGGCGAGUGGCGGACGGGUGAGGAAUACAUCGGAAUCUACCUUUUCGUGGGGGAUAACGUAGGGAAACUUACGCUAAUACCGCAUACGACCUUCGGGUGAAAGCAGGGGACCUUCGGGCCUUGCGCGGAUAGAUGAGCCGAUGUCGGAUUAGCUAGUUGGCGGGGUAAAGGCCCACCAAGGCGACGAUCCGUAGCUGGUCUGAGAGGAUGAUCAGCCACACUGGAACUGAGACACGGUCCAGACUCCUACGGGAGGCAGCAGUGGGGAAUAUUGGACAAUGGGCGCAAGCCUGAUCCAGCCAUACCGCGUGGGUGAAG
rnacentral:rRNA from 1 species